GACGAACGCUGGCGGCGCGCUUAACACAUGCAAGUCGAGCGAUAACCAUGGCUUCGGCUAUGGGGAGAGCGGCGAACGGGUGAGUAACACGUGAGCGAUCUGCCCUCGACACUGGGAUAGCCCGGGGAAACCCGGAUUAAUACCGGAUAGCCUCACGGGUCUACGGGCUCGUGAGAAAAGAUGGCUUCGGCUUUCGGUUGAGGAGGAGCUUGCGGCGGAUUAGCUUGUUGGUGAGGUAACGGCUCACCAAGGCGACGAUCCGUAGCUGGUCUGAGAGGACGAUCAGCCACACUGGGACUGAGACACGGCCCAGACUCCUACGGGAGGCAG
rnacentral:rRNA from 1 species